rfam:Flavobacterium psychrophilum JIP02/86 complete genome
AAUGCGGUAACCGAAAAGCAAAUAGAGUAGGUA